GACGAACGCUGGCGGCGUGCUUAACACAUGCAAGUCGAACGGUAAGGCCCUUCGGGGUACACGAGUGGCGGACGGGUGAGUAACACGUGGGUGAUCUGCCCUGCACUUCGGGAUAAGCCUGGGAAACUGGGUCUAAUACCGGAUAGGACUCCGGACUGCAUGGUCUGGGGUGGAAAGCUUUUGCGGUGUGGGAUGGGCCCGCGGCCUAUCAGCUUGUUGGUGGGGUGAUGGCCUACCAAGGCGACGACGGGUAGCUGGUCUGAGAGGACGAUCAGCCGGAUUGGGACUGAGAUACGGCCCAGACUCCUACGGGGGGCAGCAAUUAGGAAUCUUGCGCAAUGGGCGAAAGCCUGACGCAGCGACGCCGCGUGGAGGAUGAAGGAUCUCGGUCUGUAAACUCCUUUUAAGUGGGAAGAAUUUUGACGGUACCACUUGAAUAAGCCCCGGCUAACUACGUGCCAGCAGCCGCCGUAA
rnacentral:rRNA from 1 species